AUUGUUGUGCUGUGCAGCAUGUGUUGUCAUUCGGAAUAUGAGCUCGAUAAAGAGUCGUCUAUGGGGCUGCGAGACUGCCAGGGUUUAGUGCCCAGUGUGCUGCUGUGCGAAAAGAAUUCCCAGUUCUUCGUAGAUGGGCAACGGCAGCGAUAGAGGCUGUUCGGAGACGAACUCUGGUUGCCUUGUACGGAGGCAAACCUUUAGCGACGCGCCGCUACCGACUUGUAACCGCUGAUCGUGUUCGAAGAGGCGCUCUCGUAGUCGAUACAGACACUAUUGUUUCUUUGCGUCGCCUUAGUUCCGGGUUGCUGUAUUUUUCGGAGAAGCUCAGGGAGAACACCAGACGGCAUUCUCGACGACCUGGUAGAGCCAUGAAACACUUAUGUUUUGAAAGAUAUAGCGUGCAAAACCUGCAAGUGCGCAGUGAUGAUGGUCUGUGUUCGUGUCACUCAGUGCGCUUGCGCAGGCAACGUGUGUUUACCCUCCGGGUGCUACAGGGCGCGCUGGCAUGAUUCACUCGAAAGCCCACCGUUGCGCUAGUCGCGCUCUCUGAGCUCGCACCGGAGACCCGAUUAAGUUCCCCGUACAUCUAAAAUAACUUGCCUGAAUCAGAAGAAGGGGGCGGUGGACAAAUGUUUGGUGCGUGCCACAGGUUCAUUUCAGUGCACGGUCAGAUCAAGCAACUGGUCCGCAGGCCUGUAUCCACUGUGCUUGAACAGCGCCCAGCGAUCCCGCUUUCGACAGGCGCCCAGAUCGAUCCAUAUAAGCUCUCAUGGAAAGCUUGUCUAGAAGAGUCUCGUAGCUGAGCAUAUGGCUGCAACGCUUUCUAGGUUCUCACACAUGCUCACACGGAAGCGCCGCUUGGUUGCAAUGCCUGUAGUCCAGGGCUGGUCGCGCAUGCAGUGCAGACGCGUACGGAAGCCGCUCUCCAGAGCGUUCUGCAGUCGGUGUCCACUUCCAUUCCGAAAAUUUCAUUUCUAAACUGUUAUCAUAAUGGCUGGAACAGGGACUAAGGAUCAUGGACAAGCACGGUCUUGUUCGGGCGUAGACUCUGGGAAGCAUGCUUGCUGGAUUCCCAACAGCUCAUUCCUGGUGCCGCAUAGGCUCAGCAUGGGCUGGGCAUCUGUGCAAUGCCCUCGUGCGCUUCAGCGUGUUUAGCGCGCCGUGGUGGAUUGUAUCGUUCUCAACUCGAAGCCUGGCAUAACUACUUCAUGUAGUGCUACAUGGUGGUUCAGAUAGCUCCCAAUGCAAGGCCUUGGAUAUCCUGUACGUACCGGUGAUGAAUGACAGAUCGAGGUUGCCUGCCGAAGAGAUUUUCAUAACCGCCUUUCACGAAAUCUCUUAGCACCACUGAAUCGUGAAGAAACUGCUUCCUUUGUAUCAACUUGAGAGAGCAGCUUUGCGUGAUUCAGAGAGUUUAGUCACGCACUACGUUAGAAACCUGGAUCAUUUUAUCAGAGUCACAGACCUCGAGACAAAUGGGCUCGGUUCCUGUUGGCAUCCGCGUCUCUUUCUGGUGUUGCUCAAGGAUGUGCAGCAUGAGCAUGCAUGCCCAGAAACAAGGUCCUCCGCAUUUCUUCGCACCUACGGUGGCAUUCCAGGUGCGCCCCUGGAAAGGCAGUGCCGGUAUCGAUGUGCUCCGCAAAAACCGUUAGAUUCAGAAUAAACGCCAAAGGC